rnacentral:hammerhead_ribozyme from 1 species
AUCUAGCUGACGAGUCCCAGAUAGGGCGAAACGAGCGUCCUGAAU